GGAAGCAGGGGGCGUCAUGUGUGAGUGGCAGGGGCAGUGCUCAGGCAGUCCCUCUGCUGCCCCCUACCCGGCAGGACAUUCAUAAUAACUUCAUUGAUACCAUGGUGGGGGUGGGGGGGCUCCCGUGAGUGAGGGGCUGCUACCCUAGUCCCUCAGUCCUCAGUGAGGUCCCCUGACCUGCCAUUCUGGCCACCACUGGUCCUUCCUUCACCAGGGAACCUCCUGCAGAUGUUUGAGGGCAGAGGGGGAGGGAGCCCCACUGCCUGGGAGGUGGAGAAGUCCUUGCAGGGGCAGCGAAGCCAAGAGCUGCGAGUGCCUGCUCCUUCCCUGCAGCCCCAGGGUUGUGGGCUCUUGGUGCCUGAGGCAGAAGCAGGCGGCUCUGCCCCAAGGGACAGGAAUCCUCGACCGAUUCCAUCAGCUUCGGGUCAGGCAGCACGAGGGGUAAUUUUUUCCCCUGCCUGGGGCGGUCCUGGGCUCUUCUGUUUUCUCGCUUGUUCAAGAGAGCUUCCUGCAAUGACUGGUUUAGUAGCAGGUAAAAAGGACCUGGGGAGAGUGUGUCCAUUUGGUCCCCCCUGGCCACCCGAUUACCCACCGCUUACCCUCCCAUGGUCUUGUCCAGAAGCAGUGAGCAGCCAGGACAUUUUGAGCAGGCCAUGCCCCUCCCCUGAAUGAAGGCAUCUAGUCCCUCAAUUCUCUCCCUUACGGCUCAGCUUCAUAGUUUAAGGCUGAUAUUUUCUUCUUUAACUUUAAUCUUUUGGCCCUGCAUCUUGGCAUGUGGGAUCUUAGCUCACUGACCAGGGAUCGGCUCUGCGCCCCUGCUUUGCUAGGCAGACUCUUAGCUACUGGACCACCAAGGAAGUCCCCAGGCUGAUCUUUAAACCCAAGGUCAUGCCCCAGUGCCCCUCCCAGGCACGCUCGCCACCGCCCCCCCCCCCACCGCGGCAUAUGGGGCCCGGGGGCGGGGGGGGGGCGGUAAAUUCCUUUCUAGGAGCUCAGCUGGAAUCCUGUCCCCUCCUGGGGCAGUCCCAUUACCCACCCUUUGCGAGAUCUGGGGUGGCCAGUGGUACCGCCCCGAGAGUAGAAGCCUGUUGCCUUAAAAUCUUUAUGCACCCGGGGCCUCAAAGGAACCUGAGAGAACCGCCCAGGGCGAGCAACAACCCAGCCAGAGGCUGAGCGGAGACGCCUAGGCGCCAAGCGGGACCCUCACACCUCCACCAUUGCGCCCGCGGAGAGGGGAGUUCCGGGGUGAGGGCGGCGGGGGGAGAUGGAGGAGAUGGGCGAGGGCGGCGAUCGCUAGGAGCAACCUGGGCCCCUUCUAGUCUGUGCACGACAGCUGAACCCCACCGGCGCAAACCUGGCCCCAAAAGGUGGGCAGAACUGGGCCCCGUCGGGCGUUUUCCAGGUCCUCUCUCCCCGCCAAUCCCACAUCAACCCCGGGAAGGGCGCAGGAACAUAUGGCCCCGUUGCACAGGUGGGGAAACUGAGGCUCGAAGAAGCAUCUCCCCGCAGCUCCUCCUCCGGGGUCACGUCUGCAGCGGGACCAAAGGAGAAAUUUGGUUUCCAAACUAACGGGGUCGGGGUGGGAGGGCCAGGGACCAAGGUCCGGAGGAGAGGGCUUUGCAAACCGAGGCGUGGAUUGCCGGCAAGCCGACUGGGGGAGUCUGUUCCGGUACCGGCGGCCAGGCGGUGAGCUCGGCUCUGGGGCGUCUGGGGACGCGGAGGACCGGCUGGCACCCAGAGGCUUCCGGGACUCCGACAUCCGGAAAGCAACGCUGCUCGCCGUUUUCGUUGUUUCCAGGGCUCUGCCCGCGCGCAGCCAGAAGCGAGAGCAGAAGGUGGCGGCCGCGUCCACGCGGGUAGCGUUCCGGAGCGACCACAGUGCCACCUUUGCCGGGCGGAGCUCUGCCCGCGCCGCGGGGCCAGGGCUCUCAGGGGAACGAAGUUGCUCCCCGUGUGCACGGGCGGGCGGCCCGGGGAUGCGGACGGUGAGAGGGUCCCCUUUCCAGGUGGCGCGGGGUGAACGCGAGGCUCAGAAUCCGCGUAAACUGGACGACGGAAUUCGUGAGCGGCUUUUGAAAGGCCCCGGGAUGAAGGGGGAGACCGUGGGAAACCGAUUCCGUUUACCGCUCUCCGGGGCCAGAGCCCGAGCCCGCGCGCAGUGAGUGGAGCCGCGCGACUCAGCCGCGGAGUUCGGCCCGCUUGGCGCGCCGCGGGGAAGGAGUCGCCGGGCGCCUCCUGCGCUUCCUGGGCCGCCAGUUUGGGCCGGCAUUCCGGAGCCAUCUCCCACAUGGCUCAAAGGAGGGAGGUCAAGCCCACAGCCUCAAUCUCUUAAAAAAAAUAAAAAGAAAGAAAGAAAGAAAACGAAAGUCCCGGUUAAACGCCUCCUCCCGAAGCCUGGGCCGUCCCCAGCUGCGAUUCCCAGGCACCUGCGUUCCUGAGCGGUGGCGCCCAGGCCAGGACUGCAGGACCAGGCAGAAGAACCAGCAGGCCCUCCCAGGAGGCAGCCCAUGUACAGAAGACAGCGUCCCCUUGCCCCGGAUCCGAACAUCUGGGGUUUGUUCGGCAUCUGCUGCAUGGUUCACAUUCCCGGGAAGUCUUGCUACUGUUUUUCAGAGCAAGAAUCUGAGGGUGAACAAAACUUGACCUGGAAUCUGAUGGAGCCGGGAGACUAAGUACCUGAAGCCAGUGGUCAAGUUCAGCGAGCACAGAGGGGAACCUAGCAGGGUCACUGCAUCUGGUUCGUAGGCUGCCCAUUCCCACCUCCCAGCCGCACUCAGCAGAGGGGCUCUCUGGGCCUGAAGACCUCGAAUGGACAGCUGGGCAUCUCUGACCCUGCACCUCCAGGCACACAAACCUCGCCAUACGGACCUCCUCUCCAGAGACCAGGCCUCCACAAGUGGGCAUGGGGCCCCUUCCUGGCGAGCAAAGGGACCCUCUAGCCCCGCAGUGUGGCCCCUGGGAGUGCAUGACGCCUUAGUCUGGGUUUCUUGGGAGCCCCAGGCCCACAGAGGCUUCUGACAGCCCUGCUGUACUAACUUCACUUGCUCCCUCCCAAACCCAGCCUUUUCCCAAAGGAGUUCAUCUGGUCUUGGGUCUCCAACCACACUUCCUCUCUUGCUGGGAAGGCUGGGAGUGGGCUGAGCUCUGGGUUGAAGCAGGAUUCUAGACUGUGGCAGAAGCUGCUGGUAAAAGUCCCUCUCCAAUGUCCUAGACCCCAGGGUUGAAG
ensembl:lncRNA